rnacentral:rRNA from 1 species
GCAUAUCAAUAAGCGGAGGAAAAGAAACCAACAGGGAUUGCCCUUAGUAACGGCGAAGUGAAGCGGCAACAGCUCAAAUUUGAAAGCUAGCCUUCGGGUUCGCAUUGUAAUUUGUAGAGGAUGAUUUGGGGAAGCCGCCUGUCUAAGUUCCUUGGAACAGGACGUCAUAGAGGGUGAGAAUCCCGUAUGUGACAGGAAAUGGCACCCUAUGUAAAUCUCCUUCGACGAGUCGAGUUGUUUGGGAAUGCAGCUCUAAAUGGGAGGUAAAUUUCUUCUAAAGCUAAAUAUUGGCGAGAGACCGAUAGCGCACAAGUAGAGUGAUCGAAAGAUGAAAAGCACUUUGGAAAGAGAGUUAAAAAGCACGUGAAAUUGUUGAAAGGGAAGCGCUUGCAAUCAGACUUGUUUAAACUGUUCGGCCGGUCUUCUGACCGGUUUACUCAGUUUGGACAGGCCAGCAUCAGUUUCGGCGGCCGGAUAAAGGCUCUGGGAAUGUGGCCUCCACUUCGGUGGAGGUGUUAUAGCCCAGGGUGUAAUACGGCCAGCCGGGACUGAGGUCCGCGCUUCGGCUAGGAUGCUGGCGUAAUGGUUGUAAGCGACCCGUCUUGAAACACGGACCAAGGAGUCUAACAUCUAUGCGAGUGUUCGGGUGUCAAACCCCUGCGCGUAAUGAAAGUGAACGGAGGUGGGAACCCGCAAGGGUGCACCAUCGACCGAUCCUGAUGUCUUCGGAUGGAUUUGAGUAAGAGCAUAGCUGUUGGGACCCGAAAGAUGGUGAACUAUGCCUGAAUAGGGUGAAGCCAGAGGAAACUCUGGUGGAGGCUCGCAGCGGUUCUGACGUGCAAAUCGAUCGUCAAAUUUGGGUAUAGGGGCGAAAGACUAAUCGAACCAUCUAGUAGCUGGUCUGCGA